rnacentral:rRNA from 1 species
CCUACGGGUGGCAGCAGUGGGGAAUAUUGGACAAUGGGGGGAACCCUGAUCCAGCCAUGCCGCGUGUGUGAAGAAGGCCCUCGGGUUGUAAAGCACUUUCAGUGAGGAAGAACGCCUGGUGGUUAAUACCCAUCAGGAAAGACAUCACUCACAGAAGAAGCACCGGCUAACUCCGUGCCAGCAGCCGCGGUAAUACGGAGGGUGCGAGCGUUAAUCGGAAUUACUGGGCGUAAAGCGCGCGUAGGUGGCUUGAUAAGCCGGUUGUGAAAGCCCCGGGCUCAACCUGGGAACGGCAUCCGGAACUGUCAAGCUAGAGUGCAGGAGAGGAAGGUAGAAUUCCCGGUGUAGCGGUGAAAUGCGUAGAGAUCGGGAGGAAUACCAGUGGCGAAGGCGGCCUUCUGGACUGACACUGACACUGAGGUGUGAAAGCGUGGGUAGCAAACAGGAUUAGAUACCCUGGUAGUC